CGUGGCACUGCUUUUUGCCCACAAAAACACGUGGGUGUGCACACACGCACGCAUCUAUGUACAGAGCACUGAAUACCAUCAGCAGACGCAGCCAACGUCUGUGGAAGCAGACACAACACCGACAGCACCGGGCAGACUGGUGUAAAGCCAAUUAUUAAAAACAAAUAAGCCGACUUUUCUGUGAAUUGCUCGCCAACGUCUGUGCUUUAGCAGUUUGUGAAGUAACCCUUUCUGGCUUGUGAAGACUCCAGUCAUGUGCGGUGAAAGCAUCAGGCCGGGGGCAUGAAGGAGAGCAAGUUUGUUGGUGACAGACAGCUACUCCAGCCAAUCAUUUCGUCCGGUCAUUUUAUUAAAUAACCUGUGAGGGCCACAG